CCCAUGUAGCCCUCCUUUCCUUUUGCUUGUCUCAGGGAAUUAUAGCUCCUCAGCAUGAUUUCUGCCAAAGUUUUGCAUCUUUAGCUAAAUAAAUCAGGGACUGAAAGUGAGCGUUUUGUGUGUGUGUGUGUGUGUGUGCGCGUGUGCGUGUCUUCUUCUCACCAGUCUGCAAUUCAUUGAAUCAUUCACUGAAAGAGUAUUUAUCGAACCCUGGCCAUAGUUCUAGGUAGCAGGGCUGUAAUAGAGAACAAAACAAACAAAAUUUUUUACCUGGUGAAGACUGACACUGAAGCAUGCACAGAAUAAUAAGUAAUCUCAUGAAAUAAUACUAUAAAAACUAAAGUAAGGUAAGGUCAUCAAGAGACAUGAAAAGAAGAAAGGUGCUAUUUCAGAAGGGGAAGCCAGAAAAGGCCUUCUAAUGAGGUGCUAUUUGGGAAAAGAAUUUGCGUAUAAUGAGAGACUGAGCCAUGUGGAUAUCUGGGGCAGGUAUUCUGGGGCAGAAAAAAAGUGAAGCGAUAAUGGAACUAGGAAAGAUUAAAUAAUAUUCCUAAAAUCACUCUAACUUUAGUUGGGACUUAUUCUAGAACCUUGAGUAGCCCAGGAUGCUGUUCAGUGUCUUAGCAUGCAUAGCAUGGCCCCCACAAGAAGGAAUUAUCUGGCCCCUGAUGUCAGUAGUGUCCAGGUUGAGAAACCCUGUGCUACAGGCUCUCCUGAGUUCCUUGCUUUUGUGCAGUCUGUCGCCAUGAUGCUGUGAGAGCUCCACCUUUCUAGCCAGUUACAAAAUCAUUUCCUAAAUGGAGCAAAUAUUCUCUGGCAAGAAUGCAGCAGGCUGUGUCAUGCGGGUUGGCUGAGGUGUUGCAGUGAGUGGCAUGGCAUUCACUCCUCUCUGGAGACCAGAGAGGAGAAAUGGAAAGCUUGGCAAGUUGACCAUUCCAGGAGUUUUUGCAUGAACUCAUAAAAGCAUAUAUCACAACUCUGGUCAUGGGGAAAAGCCCCUCCUCUCAUAUUGUGUGAAGGCAAUUAAUGAUAGGCAGCAGUAAAGAGGUGAUGAGAUUGCUUUUAUUGUUAUUGUUUUAUUUUUGAGGUCCCUGGUGACUACUCCUUGUGUCAAUCCUUUGAUCUAAGAAGCUGUUAUGAAAUAAUAUGUCUUCGUAUUGCUAGCCGUGAAGGACCCUUCAGAGGAGCUGAUCAAGAUGCUGCAGCACCAUGAGAAAAUUUACAGUUACCUGGUGUGAACCUUGACAAGUCACUUCAAAGCUGGGCAGGGCAUAGCACGCUUUCAUAAGUGAUCACUUUUACAAAAGGGAGUGGAAAGGAAAAUAGAGCUAUGCGUGGUGACUGUCAGGUCAUCAUGAUCUAGCUUUUUGUCAAGUGUCAGCACCUUAAUGUUUGAUAUGAGUAAUGUUAAUGUUGUAAUAAUGGUCACAGAGUGGAUUCCUCACUUCCAUGUAUGGCCUAAAAGAUUAUACUCUGUUCGGGAUGUAAAUGGGUGUUUGUGUAUCUUUACAGGUCAAGGUGUCCUUAUCUUUCUACGGAGCAGGUGGUUGUUAUCUACUUGCUCUGUCCUCUUGUUCAUGUUUAGAUAAAGACAGAUUCGUGUGGUCACUGCCCCCAGGGAGCUCAAAGUCUCUUUUCCUCUUUCUCUUUUGAAAAUGAAAUCUCAUUAUCUGUGAUAGGCAGUGACUUAGAAGGUUAAAUAUACCAAGAUCGAAUAUAUUUAUCCUGAUACUCCUGUAGUAGGCCUACGGAGAUUUUGAAAAGGUGUGAGAGAUCAUUCAUAUGCCAGGUUGACCCAGAAAUAUUCUUUCUUUGAAUUAGAAUGAUAACAUCUUACCCAAGUAUUCACAUAUUCAUUUAAAUUGUGUUCAAAUCUGUGUUAUUCCAGCUCCCUUGGUCCCUACAAUUUGGAAUUCAAAUCCAGAUGGCUAUUUAUGUUGAAGGUCAUGUGAGAAGCACUUUUCUCCCCAAAGAAAUGUUGGCAUUAUCGUAGUGUCUUUUUCGUAUCCUGUCUUCUUUCUCACAUCCAAGACUAGUUCCAAAGAAUUUUGUUUGUCGUUACUGUUGAUAAGAGACUUUGGUUUUGGAAUAUGUUUUCUCUUUUAAGUUUUUUUUCUCUUAAAUUUUUGAGUCUAACAUUCCUGAUUGAUAACUGUAUCUUCCAGGUUUCCAUACAUAUGUGAAAGGGGUAGAUUUGGGAUUUCAAAUCUCUCUGGUGGAAAUACCAAUUGAAUUAUAAAAAGGAGAUAUGUUCCUAUCACAAAUGUAUUAUUUAACACCGUUAUUAUAUUAAAAUAUUUUUUCCAAUUAAAAUGUUUGUUAUAAAACAGCUAUUCAUUAUUGAAGUAUUACUUCAAAUAGAAUAGCCACACUCCAUUUGUUAAGUAUUUUUUUGUAGUAAGAAAGGGACACCAUGCUCUUUUACUCUGUUUUCUUUUGGUUUGUUCAAAUAUAUCAUGAUUUCACUGUUGUAAAUAAUUUUUCCUAACUUUCCUUACUCAGACAACCUCAAAAUGCAUAGAUUCUCAUUUCAGUAAUUUUUCUAAAGGUUGUUCUGAGUGCUGCCCUUUGUAGAAUAUGUCUUACUGGAUCUUAAGAGCAUUUAAAGUUUUUUUUUUUUCAGGAAUUUGCAUCAUGGCUCAGUGGUUAAUGAACCUGAUUAGCAUCCAUGAGGAUGUAGAUUCCAUCCCUGGCCUUGCUCAGUGGGUUAAGCAUUGUUGUGAGCUGUGGUGGAAGUGGCAGAUGUGGCUCAGAUCCAUUGUUGCUGAGGUUGUGAUGUAGGCCAGCAGCUACAGCUCUGAUUCGACCCCUAGCCUGGGAACCUCCAUAUGCUGUGGGUGCUGCCCUAAAAAGACAAAAAAAAAAAAAAAAAAGUUUUUUGUUUUUUUUUUCAUAUGAAUUGCUUGGCACUUAGAUGUUUUAAGUGAUUUUAAUAAAUUAGGUACGGCUGUAAUAUAAAAGGUAGAAAAUAUACACUUUUAGGCUUCAAAAGACUUCCACUUCAGUGGGUUGUAGAAUGCUUAAAAUAUAAGUUCGGAUGAAUAUUUGACAAUUUGAUUUUGAACUCUCCUUACAGAACAGAAUAGAUUUAUGCAGUGGGAGGACAGAAAAUAUAAUAAUUAGAAAUAUAUUAAUUGAUUUCAGGUUUUUAUCUGUAAAAUCAUAGUCAUAAAUACGGUUAUUAGAAUCCAUGUUUAUGGUCUUGAAUUUGAUUGAGAGAGAGGGUUAUUCAUCAGAAAAGCCACCAGUCUCUCCAUUUAUCACAACGAAUUGUGAAUUUAUAUCUCUGUAACUCACAGGUUUACCUAAAGAUUUAAAUAAUUUUACUGACUUCCUGGCAUUAGCCUCUGGGACUAGAGUUUCUGUGAACAAAAAAAGAACAUCAGAUAUGGAAUUGUUUGAGUAUCUCUGUGUUUACCUCUGAAUGGAGUCUCAUUGUAAGAAGUCCUUGUCAGGGGACUGAGUAAAAGUGACUGGUCAGAGCGUUUUCUUAAUGCGUGCCUGGAAUACUAGUUCAGUAGUCGGGUAACAGUAGCAGGAAAGUCUUGGGACCAAGGAAGAUCAGGAAUUGCUAAGGUAAACAUAGUAUAGCAGAUGUUUUUACUUCCGGACUUAUCAGAGCCUUUAAUUUUCCACUCUUAACAAAGAAUUAGAUGCUUCAUCUUCACCGUGCACUUAUACAUUCCCUUAGGGAGAAAGGGAAGAUAAAAGAGGCAAAAAGGGGAAUGGAGUUGGGGAGAGUGUGGGUAGGAGAUUGAUUCUCAUGAGCUGGAUCAGUAUCUGUCAUCAUUAUUUCCUAAAUGCUUUAAGAGGGCUAUGCUGGUGUUCUGAGUAUAGUUAGAGGGAAAUUUCAAUUGGAAAUGAUGAAUUUCACAUGACCCACACAUUUGGUAUGAAGUAAAGUGCAGAGGUAUGCUUGAUUAAAAGGGAAAUCCAUACCAAUGGACAUCAGAACUAUUUUCUUCUGUCUUCCUUACUUCGUGGGAAUGAAGCAUUUGUGUACGAAAGAAUUCCUUGGGGGAUGAAAUGCCAUUUAGUUUAAUGUGAUGAAAAUGAUGUAUUCAAGUCACCACAAAUGAAAAUAUUUACUAGAAUGGACUACAUUUAACUUUCUGGGCAGGUGUUUUAUAUGAUACCUACCUUAAGAGGGUGAUGACAUUUGGGAGUAUGGGAUGGUUUUAAUGCAUAUUGAAUUUGGGAGUAAUAGAAUUGUCACCAACAAGUGGCUAGAUGACAAGACCCCUCCCCCCAAAAACUGAAUUUGUGGUAUCAAAGAAAUAAAGAUUUCAGUCAAGCCAGACACAAGGUGAUGGGUCUUUAACAGUGAGGGUACCAGGAAAGAUUAAGUUUUGAAAUUCAGUUUUAAGAGUUAAGAGGGAAAGCACUGGGAUUGGAGAGCAUGGAGAGAGAAAGAAAAACGGUACUUGCUGCCUGUGAAGAGUAGUGCAUCCCACCAUCAGGACAGUGAAACAGAUUUCCCUACAUUACCAUGUGUCCCUGGGAGAAGGCAGGGCAGAAUCGCUCGCUCUUGAUUGAGAAUCACUACUACAGAGCGUGUCAAACAUAAUAAUAAUCACAGGUCGUCACAGUACAGAAUACUGUGGAAUUCUUAGACGGCAAGCUUGGCCAUCAUGUGUAACCUGACAAGCUUAUUUAAAAAAGAGUUCCUUAUUCCAAGUGGGCAAUUGUAAGCAAAUAUGGGGGCAUGGAUUUUAUUUCCCUUUGAUUUGUGCUGUGUGAGGCCCGGAAAGCAUGGAUGAAGUUUGCUGUAGCUCUGAUUGAAGAUAAAAAACAAUAAUUAGUUGCCUAAUUAAUGGCAUACAGGUUCCCCCCGAUCUGUGCUGUUUACUGUUUAGGGAUGAAUGAUGAGGUUGUGUUUUUAGACAUUGUCUGCCAUAGCCGGUUUAUAGCCAUAGUGUUUCAUCUCACAUUUGCUUAUGUGAAGAUUUAAAGGUGUUGCCUGGAUUAAAUCAAAACAGUAGACAAGGUCAUAAUGUUAAUUAUCUGAAUACGUUAGCCUGAAAAAUAUACAUACGAACAUAUAUUUUUUAAAUGUCUGAUUGUGGGACUAAUUCUUUGAAUGAUUUUCUUAAUUUUGCAUACACUUUUUCCCAGUGUACUUAAUCUUGUUCCAUUCAGAUCAACUCUAAUUUCUAUGGAAAUGGCUUCAUAAAGAAUUUAAAACGAGCGGUGAUUUGAGAUCUUCUUUUAAAAAAUGGAAAUUGCAUUUAUCCAGGUUUGAAUUUUAUCUAGAAUUAUAGCUUAAUAACUCUUAAUAUUAUUUUCAAAUUCAUAUUUUAAUGCAAUUAAAAGUUGGAUUUUUCAUUUCUGGAGUAGAAAGAAAGCUUUUUAAACUUUUCUUUUGCCUGCCAAGGAAUCUUUUUCCCUUGGCAUUAAUAGCAGUGCCCUCUGUCACACCUCCUUUUACCUUUUACCCUUGGGUGGGCUUUUAAAAUCUGUUUAGUAGAAUUUUCUUCCUUCCCCAUUUACCUUUCCCUAGACCUAGAGGUUAUCCCUUUGUCUGCCUCUCAUUUCUCCCUGAGACAGUUGCAUCUCACCAUUUGCCAUGCAUGGCCUGCUUUAUUUCUUCUUCUCCUAUGUUUGAUAUUUGAGGAGGUUGGCGUGAGGUGGGGGGAGUUGAGUUCAAUGAAAAGAAAGAAGACUCUUACCUCUUUUACACUGUACAAUACCUUUUUAAGAGGUAGAACAAAUUAAAAAUAAGAUGCAUUAUGGUAAGACUUUGACACUUGACCGCAAUGAAGCUUUUAGUUCCCAUAAUGUUGAGUGGAGGCUGGAAAAUUUGCCAAACCUCUUAUUCUGUGUUCAGCUCAAGUUUGCUCUGGCACCUACAAGGGGACAAAAAAAGGGGCUACAGGAACCGGAGGAUUUUAUUUUCUUGUCUUUGAAAAAAAACUUUCUAUAUAUGUUGAAUGGCAUAUUAAUUUCAUAUUCUGUUAGUUCUGUGAGGUUUGUUUAAACCAUACAAGCUGAUCUUUCCAUGUGACUUCCAUCUAUGUGUCAAUGCACAUUUAAAGAUC
rnacentral:lncRNA from 1 species